AAAUUGAAGAGUUUGAUCAUGGCUCAGAUUGAACGCUGGCGGCAGGCCUAACACAUGCAAGUCGAACGGUAACAGGAAGCAGCUUGCUGCUUUGCUGACGAGUGGCGGACGGGUGAGUAAUGUCUGGGAAACUGCCUGAUGGAGGGGGAUAACUACUGGAAACGGUGGCUAAUACCGCAUAACGUCGCAAGACCAAAGAGGGGGACCUUCGGGCCUCUUGCCAUCAGAUGUGCCCAGAUGGGAUUAGCUUGUUGGUGAGGUAACUGCUCACCAAGGCGACGAUCCCUAGCUGGUCUGAGAGGAUGACCAGCCACACUGGAACUGAGACACGGUCCAGACUCCUACGGGAGGCAGCAGUGGGGAAUAUUGCACAAUGGGCGCAAGCCUGAUGCAGCCAUGCCGCGUGUAUGAAGAAGGCCUUCGGGUUGUAAAGUACUUUCAGCGGGGAGGAAGGUGUUGUGGUUAAUAACCACAGCAAUUGACGUUACCCGCAGAAGAAGCACCGGCUAACUCCGUGCCAGCAGCCGCGGUAAUACGGAGGGUGCAAGCGUUAAUCGGAAUUACUGGGCGUAAAGCGCACGCAGGCGGUCUGUCAAGUCGGAUGUGAAAUCCCCGGGCUCAACCUGGGAACUGCAUUCGAAACUGGCAGGCUUGAGUCUUGUAGAGGGGGGUAGAAUUCCAGGUGUAGCGGUGAAAUGCGUAGAGAUCUGGAGGAAUACCGGUGGCGAAGGCGGCCCCCUGGACAAAGACUGACGCUCAGGUGCGAAAGCGUGGGGAGCAAACAGGAUUAGAUACCCUGGUAGUCCACGCCGUAAACGAUGUCUACUUGGAGGUUGUGCCCUUGAGGCGUGGCUUCCGGAGCUAACGCGUUAAGUAGACCGCCUGGGGAGUACGGCCGCAAGGUUAAAACUCAAAUGAAUUGACGGGGGCCCGCACAAGCGGUGGAGCAUGUGGUUUAAUUCGAUGCAACGCGAAGAACCUUACCUGGUCUUGACAUCCACAGAACUUUCCAGAGAUGGAUUGGUGCCUUCGGGAACUGUGAGACAGGUGCUGCAUGGCUGUCGUCAGCUCGUGUUGUGAAAUGUUGGGUUAAGUCCCGCAACGAGCGCAACCCUUAUCCUUUGUUGCCAGCGGUCCGGCCGGGAACUCAAAGGAGACUGCCAGUGAUAAACUGGAGGAAGGUGGGGAUGACGUCAAGUCAUCAUGGCCCUUACGACCAGGGCUACACACGUGCUACAAUGGCGCAUACAAAGAGAAGCGACCUCGCGAGAGCAAGCGGACCUCAUAAAGUGCGUCGUAGUCCGGAUUGGAGUCUGCAACUCGACUCCAUGAAGUCGGAAUCGCUAGUAAUCGUGGAUCAGAAUGCCACGGUGAAUACGUUCCCGGGCCUUGUACACACCGCCCGUCACACCAUGGGAGUGGGUUGCAAAAGAAGUAGGUAGCUUAACCUUCGGGAGGGCGCUUACCACUUUGUGAUUCAUGACUGGGGUGAAGUCGUAACAAGGUAACCGUAGGGGAACCUGC
rnacentral:rRNA from 1 species